AAGGUCAGGCUGAAGACUUACCCGAUUAGCUGAGAGGUGGUGCAUGGCCGUCGUCAGUUCGUACUGUGAAGCAUCCUGUUAAAGUCAGGCAACGAGCGAGACCCACGUCCACAGUUGCCGGCAUACCCUCCGGGGUGAUGGGUACACUGUGGAGACCGCCGCUGCUAAAGCGGAGGAAGGAGUGGGCAACGGUAGGUCAGUAUGCCCCGAAUCUCCCGGGCUACACGCGGGCUACAAUGGUUGGUACAAUGGGCAUCUACCCCGAAAGGGGAAGGAAAUCUCUUAAAGCCAAUCGUAGUUCGGAUUGAGGGCUGCAACUCGCCCUCAUGAAGCUGGAAUCCGUAGUAAUCGCGUUUCAACAGAACGCGGUGAAUACGUCCCUGCUCCUU
rnacentral:rRNA from 1 species